AAAGAGUCAGACUCUUCACAGAGGUGGGAGGAUGACAGACUAUGGAUGGCAUGGAAACAGAGACCUUGUUGGCUGCUAACUGCAUUCAGUUCCUGGAGAUUAGCAAAAUUAUCAGGACUUCAGGAGGAAAAUUAUAUUUAC